AUUGAACGCUGGCGGCAUGCCUUACACAUGCAAGUCGAACGGUAACAGGUCUUCGGAUGCUGACGAGUGGCGAACGGGUGAGUAAUACAUCGGAACGUGCCUAGGAGUGGGGGAUAACUACUCGAAAGAGUGGCUAAUACCGCAUGAGAUCUACGGAUGAAAGCAGGGGAUCGCAAGACCUUGUGCUACUAGAGCGGCCGAUGGCAGAUUAGGUAGUUGGUGGGAUAGAAGCUUACCAAGCCGACGAUCUGUAGCUGGUCUGAGAGGACGAUCAGCCACACUGGGACUGAGACACGGCCCAGACUCCUACGGGAGGCAGCAGUGGGGAAUUUUGGACAAUGGGCGCAAGCCUGAUCCAGCAAUGCCGCGUGCAGGAUGAAGGCCUUCGGGUUGUAAACUGCUUUCGUACGGAACGAAAAGCCCUGGGUUAAUACCCUGGGGUCAUGACGGUACCGUAAGAAUAAGCACCGGCUAACUACGUGCCAGCCGCCGCGGUAA
rnacentral:rRNA from 1 species